AGCAGGGGUGACCCCCACCCCACCCCCAGCAGUCAGGCCAGGUAAGAGCCCCUCGCCUUAACUGGUUUGUGCUGAAGAGACUUCUUGACUUCCUGCAUAGGCUCCCCCACCACCAGGAUGAUGGGGGACUCCUGUGCAGCCCCACUCCCUCUGUCCCAAGGCCAGGAUCUCCAUUCCCAGUAACUCUUGCGAGGUCCCCACAUCACCCAAGGCUCUGGCUUUGUGCAGGUUCAGAGUCUGCCUCUCAUGCGUGCUGUGACCACUGCAGACUCACAGACUGAGGAGCGGCUCAGCCCUUCAGUGAUGAGACGGUGCAACAUGUUUGUGGAUCAGAGGAGUCAGGGUCAGCAGAUUAAUUGAUCCUUAAUUGUUGUUGGGGAAGUUUUCUUUUCCUCUUCCAAGUGAAUGCUAUCAACACACUUUUCCAAGAGUCAUUUUGAAUUUUCCUAAUUUACAACUGCAAAGCCCACCUUCCUGUCCGUUGCUGAAUAUCACAAGGUCUCCUAUUAUCCUGAAUGUCUCCAGAUCGGCUUUCUGUGACUGAGGUGGAGCAAGGUGUUUUCUCCUAUACUUGAAUGUCAAGAGUUUUCAUACAGCUACCUGAAUAUCAUGAAGCAUCAUUUUUCCCAUCUGAUCAUCAGGAACUAGCAUCUCACCUACCAGAGUGUGACAAAUGCUUAUUGCAAACACCUGAAUGUUAAAACAUUUCCCAUCGCCUGCAAGUGUCAGGAGGUCACACUCUUACCUGCAUGAGGGCAGCCUUACCUCUUCUACCUGAAUUGCCAGAGGCCCUCAUCGCCUCCACCUACAGGUUAAGAAUUCUCACCUCCACCACCCAAGUGUCACCCUGUCGCACUUUCUCUACCUGAAAAUCAAGAGGUCUUACAUCUUCCAGCUGAAUGUCAAGAGGUUGUAUUUUACCUAUAUGAAUGUUCUGAAGUCUCCACCGGUAUACCAGAGUGUUGGGAGAUCUCAUUGCCCCCAUCUGGGUGCCAGGGCAUGUCCUACCCUCUACUUGAAUAUAGUCUCAUAUCCCUGUCUAAAUGGCAUGGAGCUUUCAUCUCCUCUGCUAGAGUAUCAUGAGAUCUCCUCUAUUCUGGGUGUCCAAAGUUCUCAUCUCAACCCCCUGAGGUCUGGAGGUAUUCUCACCUCUUCCUGGUUGUCUGGAGGUCUCAUCUCCCUUACCUGAGAGUCAUGAAACCUCCUAUCUCCUAUAUGCCCUAUCUAAGUCAUGACACUUUAUCUCCUCCGAGUGUCAGGGGAUUUUUCUACCUUUAUGUCAGGUAGCCCCACUUCCUCUAGCUGAAGGGCAUACAAGUUCUAUUUCGUGACUUGAAUGUGAAUAGGUUUCAGCUGCACUACUGAGUGUUAGCGGACCUCACUUAUUUUAACUGAGCAUCAAGUUGUGUCUCAUAAAUAACCAGAAAAAGACUUUGGAAAUAUGGUUCAAGAAAUGGCAAGAAGAAUUGAAGAAGUGGGCCCAAGUGCAGAGGCUCAUGCCUGUAAUCCCAGCACUUUGAGAGGGUGAGGCAGGCAGAUCACUUGAGCUCAGGAGCCCCAGACCAGCCUGGGCAACACGGCAAAACCCCGUCUGUACAAAAAAUACAAAAAUUAGCCAGGUGCAGUGGCACCUGCAUCCCAGCUACUCAGAAAGCUGAGGCAGGAGAAUCAUUUGAACCCAGAAGGCAGAAGUUGCAGUGAGCCGAGAUCGCACCAUUGCACUCAAGCUUGGGCAAUGGGAGUGAAACCCUGUCUCAAAAAAAAAAAAGAAGAAGAUUAAAGUUUUGACUGUUAAAGAAAAUAUUAUUCGGGUGUUUUUAAUGGAUAGCACCUAUUUCUUUACAAAUAUUUAGGAGGUAUCAAUAAAAAAGUCUGAAGACCCAAUGUCAGUGUCUGGAUUCUAGAAGACCAUUACAGUUUGACUCCGCAAAGCUUACCCACUUCUGAUUCUAGAAGGGGCUGCCAGUCAUCGUGCCUGCCCGUGGCUAUAGUGAUGGUUGCGGGAAAAGUACCUGGCCCGGCCCAUUUAAUUUUGUCAUUAAACUAAUGGAAGCAAAAAAAAAAAAAAAA
rnacentral:lncRNA from 1 species